AGAGAAUAGAUACCCAGGUAGUCCACGCCGUAAACGAUGGAUACUAGCUGUUCGGAGCAAAUCUGAGUGGCUAAAGCGAAAGUGAUAAGUAUCCCACCUGGGGAGUACGCACGCAAGUGUGAAACUCAAAGGAAUUGACGGGGGCCCGCACAAGCGGUGGAGCAUGUGGUUUAAUUCGAUGAUACGCGAGGAACCUUACCAGGGCUUAAAUGUAGAUUGACAGGACUGGAAACAGUUUUUCUUCGGACAAUUUACAAGGUGCUGCAUGGUUGUCGUCAGCUCGUGCCGUGAGGUGUCAGGUUAAGUCCUAUAACGAGCGCAACCCCUGUCGUUAGUUGCCAGCGAGUCAUGUCGGGAACUCUAACGAGACUGCCAGUGUAAACCUGUGAGGAAGGUGGGGAUGACGUCAAAUCAUCACGGCCCUUACGGUCCUGGGCCACACACGUGCUACAAUGGUAGGUACAGAGAGCAGCCACUGCGCGAGCAGGAGCGAAUCUACAAAA
rnacentral:rRNA from 1 species